rnacentral:rRNA from 1 species
AUGAACGCUGGCGGCGUGCUUAACACAUGCAAGUCGAACGAAGCACCUCUAAUCGAAGAUUGAGAAGCUUGCUUUGAUGAUUCACCUUGAGGUGACUGAGUGGCGGACGGGUGAGUAACGCGUGGGUAACCUACCCUAUACAGGGGGAUAACAGUUGGAAACGACUGCUAAUACCGCAUAAGCGCACGAAGACCGCAUGGUCUGGUGUGAAAAAACUCCGGUGGUAUAGGAUGGACCCGCGUCUGAUUAGCUAGUUGGUGAGGUAACGGCUCACCAAGGCGACGAUCAGUAGCCGACCUGAGAGGGUGACCGGCCACAUUGGGACUGAGACACGGCCCAAACUCCUACGGGAGGCAGCAGUGGGGAAUAUUGCACAAUGGGCGAAAGCCUGAUGCAGCGACGCCGCGUGAACGAAGAAGUAUUUCGGUAUGUAAAGUUCUAUCAGCAGGGAAGAAAAAUGACGGUACCUGACUAAGAAGCUCCGGCUAAAUACGUGCCAGCCGCGGC